UCUUACUUCGUUGUGUUGUGGAUAUACCCACCCAGAAAAGUGAUUUUUAAUAAACAAGGAACCUAAUGACCUCUGUUAUCGUAGAAUAUCAACACCCAAUCAUUAUCAUGCACGUCAUACGUGUCGAGCAUCACCUUCCAACCGUGCUUGAAUUCUUCAACAAAAUGUGAAUCAUAUACUAAACCGUCUAUAGCAAAAAAUAUGGAGCCCUUAUGAACAUGGUAGCAAAACUUUUCUAGCAACUUCUUCAAAAUGUACUACAAAUACCAUCUAUGUUUCGUAUUCGGAGAAACAAUCUUGAUUGCAUUUUGCAUUGCCCUAUUUUAAUAAGUAAUUAUGCCAUUGGGAGUUUACAUGCACUCAGUCAUGUCCUAAACAACCACACAAAAGUUCUGGUGUCCUCGUUCGAUGACAAUCCACAACCAAGCAUUGUUGCUUGACCGUGAUGAUUUACGCCAACAAAAUGGGUAAACGACAUGUUAUACUUGUUAGUGAGAUACGUAGUAUUAAAAGUGACAAUGUCACCAAAUUGCUUGUAAGAUUGCCUAUAUCUAUUAUCUGCUUAAAAUACAUUCUUCAAUCGUGACUCAUCAUCUAUGUCCAUACUAAAGUAAAAUCUCGAGCAUCUUGCUUGUAUCCUUUGCAUCUUUGAAAAAGAUGCUUAUUUUGCUAUGGCAUCUCCUUUUUCAAGUCGUGUUUCACUUGUUUGAUAUAGUUCCGACAAUUCAGCAAUUCUUCUCCACGAACAUCAUAUUCUCAUAUCCACUUACUACCACA
rnacentral:lncRNA from 1 species